CUCCCAGUUGUCAAUGCUCCUGAAUGUAAUGACAGCCAGAGACGAGGAAAGGGAGAGAUUACGACAAGAGGUACAGCGGUCUCGAGAGCAGCUACACGCCAUGUACGAGCGUCAGCCCGCAGAUUGUCCUCAUGACCCUAGUGUUUGUUGAUGCUCUAUCCGGCGAAGCGGAAACUCAACUGGAGACUGCGGCUGAGGCGGAGUGAUGAACACUUCGGCCCCACUGUCUCUCAACUCGCGUGUUGGCGUCGGCCAGCCUCGUACCUUCGUGGAUCUGAGUACAUGUCUCAUCUCGUAUAGUAGUAUUAUCGCGUGUACAGUAAGUAAGCCUUGCCCUAGUGCCUAGUGUUGUCGUUACCAUCCCGGACUCCAUAUAGUGGUGCUCAUUCCAACAUAAGUUGUUGUACAGAUAGACUAUCAUACGAUCACUUUUUUAUUAUAUAAUAUAUAGAUGCAUAAUAAUUAAUUAUGGAUAAUCAAAGAUUUGUUAUUAUUUGGAUAAGUUUACGCGAGUGUUGUUUAACUCAUUUUUUAUUAAGUUUAAUUAAUUGUGGGUUUAAUUUAUUAAGAUGAAGGUAUUGUAGAGUAGAUGUAAGAUGUUUCCUAUAUGCAUUUAUACAGUAUUGUACCGGUGCGGCUAUGUAUGUAUGGUGCUACAUUUUAGGCCACACGCUAGAGGUAACUUUUCCUUCUUUCUGUGAUAAUAAAAAAGAGUUUAUAUCAAAAAGAAUAUAAUUUGAGUUUGUUUUCUCAAAGAGCCCAGUACUAUUGAGUGGAUCGUUGGCCAUAAUCGUGUUAUUUAUUGUAAUGUUGUUUGGAAAAGUAGCUUUAACUUAAGACUAUAGUGUAAUUGUUUCAAAAAAGUUACCUCUAGUUUUGAUCUGUGUAUGUAAUAUUUUUUGUAAAGAACAUUUUUGUAUAUUGUGGUCCUGCAUAAAGCUAUUUCUAUUAACACUUAUUUCUGGUUUUUAUCACUAGUGGUUACUUGUAUCACGAUUUGAAUUUUUGUGCAGUAUUAAUAAGCAUUCUUUUGUAAAUUAUGAACUGUAUUCAUAAGUGUUACUCAAAUGUUUUUCUUGUUAUAAAAAAUUCAAAAUUA